AUUGAACGCUAGCGGGAUGCCUUACACAUGCAAGUCGAACGGAGUGGCGAACGGGUGAGUAAGGUAUCGGAACGUGCCCAUUAGCGGGGGAUAACUACACUAAAGCGUAGCGAAUACCGACUACUAUUGGCGCGGCCUAUAUGGGGUUAGCUAGUUGGGGGGGUAACGGCUCACCAAGGCCACGAUCCGUAGCUGGUUUGAGAGGGUGACCAGCCACACGGGGACUGAGACACGGCCCAGACUCCUACGGGAGGCAGCAGUGGGGAAUUUUGGACAAUGGGGGAAACCCUGAUGCAGCCAUCCCGCGUGUGCGAUGAAGGCCUUCGGGUUGUAAAGCACUUUUGGCAGGAAAGCGGUACCUGCAGAAUAAGCACCGGCUAACUACGUGCCAGCAGCCGCGGUAAUUC
rnacentral:rRNA from 1 species